rnacentral:misc_RNA from 1 species
GGAAGUAAAAGUCUAACAAGGUUUCCGUAGGUGAACCUGCGGAAGGAUCAUUGUUGUAUAACCGAGGUGCGAGGGCUGUCGCUGACCCGAAAGGUCGUGCACGCCCGAGUGCCCUCACACACAUCCAUCUCACCCCUAUGUGCACCACCGCGUGGGUCCCCCUUUGGCUUGUUCGGAGGGGGGCUUACGUUUUCACACAAACUUUGUAUGCAGUGUAGAAUGUAUUUUUUGUUUUUGUGAUCACGCAAUCAAUACAACUUUCAACAACGGAUCUCUUGGCUCUC